CCGGAGAAUGUUAUCACGGGAGACACACGGCGGGUGCUAACGUCCGUCGUGAAGAGGGAAACAACCCAGACCGCCAGCUAAGGUCCCAAAGUCAUGGUUAAGUGGGAAACGAUGUGGGAAGGCCCAGACAGCCAGGAUGUUGGCUUAGAAGCAGCCAUCAUUUAAAGAAAGCGUAAUAGCUCACUGGUCGAGUCGGCCUGCGCGGAAGAUGUAACGGGGCUAAACCAUGCACCGAAGCUGCGGCAGCGACACUCAGGUGUUGUUGGGUAGGGGAGCGUUCUGUAAGYCUGYGAAGGUGGSCUGUGAGGSWUGCUGGAGGUAUCAGAAGUGCGAAUGCUGACAUAAGUAACGAUAAAGCGGGUGAAAAGCCCGCUCGCCGGAAGACCAAGGGUUCCUGUCCAACGUUAAUCGGGGCAGGGUGAGUCGACCCCUAAGGCGAGGCCGAAAGGCGUAGUCGAUGGGAAACGGGUUAAUAUUCCCGUACUUGGUGUUACUGCGAAGGGGGGACGG
rnacentral:rRNA from 1 species